rnacentral:rRNA from 1 species
CUCAGAACGAACGCUGGCGGCAGGCCUAACACAUGCAAGUCGAGCGCAGUCCUUCGGGACCGAGCGGCGGACGGGUUAGUAACGCGUGGGAACAUACCCUUUUCUACGGAAUAGCCUCGGGAAACUGAGAGUAAUACCGUAUAAGCCCUUCGGGGGAAAGAUUUAUCGGGAAAGGAUUGGCCCGCGUUAGAUUAGAUAGUUGGUGGGGUAAUGGCCUACCAAGUCUACGAUCUAUAGCUGGUUUUAGAGGAUGAUCAGCAACACUGGGACUGAGACACGGCCCAGACUCCUACGGGAGGCAGCAGUGGGGAAUCUUAGACAAUGGGCGCAAGCCUGAUCUAGCCAUGCCGCGUGUGUGAUGAAGGUCUUAGGAUCGUAAAGCACUUUCGCCAGGGAUGAUAAUGACAGUACCUGGUAAAGAAACCCCGGCUAACUCCGUGCCAGCAGCCGCGGUAAUACGGAGGGGGUUAGCGUUGUUCGGAAUUACUGGGCGUAAAGCGUACGUAGGCGGAUCAGAAAGUAGGGGGUGAAAUCCCAGGGCUCAACCCUGGAACUGCCUCCUAAACUCCUGGUCUUGAGUUCGAGAGAGGUGAGUGGAAUUCCAAGUGUAGAGGUGAAAUUCGUAGAUAUUUGGAGGAACACCAGUGGCGAAGGCGGCUCACUGGCUCGAUACUGACGCUGAGGUACGAAAGUGUGGGGAGCAAACAGGAUUAGAUACCCUGGUAGUCCACACCGUAAACGAUGAAUGCCAGUCGUCGGGCAGUAUACUGUUCGGUGACACACCUAACGGAUUAAGCAUCCGC